UUUUAUUGUAACUAUUCUAGGGGAACUAUUUUAGCUUUUGGCUUUAAUACGCUUCCUCUAUUAUUAUGUUCUUUAAAUAACAAAGAUUCUUUUUAAAAUCCCCACUUUUGCUUUUGCUUUUUUGGGGAUUUUGUUACUUUGAGUAAAUUAGAGUGUUCAAAGCAAACAGUUAAAGCAUUUACUGUGUUUGAAUACUAUAGCAUGGAAUAACAAAAUUGAACAAGCUAAAAUUUUUUGUUCUUUUUUCUUAUUUUGGCUUAGUUACGAUUAAUAGGAGUAGCUUGGGGACAUUCGUAUUCAGAUGUCAGAGGUGAAAUUCUUAGAUUUUCUGGAGACGAACAACUGCGAAAGCAUUUGUCUAAAAUACUUCCAUUAAUCAAGAACGAAAGUUAAGGGAGUGAAGACGAUCAGAUACCGUCGUAAUCUUAACCAUAAACUAUGCCGACUAGGUGUUGGAUGAAAGUGUUAAAAAUAAAAGUCAUCUUUCGAGGUGACUUUCAGAUUGCUUCCCUCAGUACCUUAUGAGAAAUCAAAGUCUUUGGGUUCUGGGGCGAGUAUUCGCGCAAGCGAGAAAGUUAAAAGAAUUGACGGAAGGGCACCACCAGGCGUGGAGCUUGCGGCUUAAUUUGACUCAACACGGGGAAACUCACUAGUUUAAGACAAGAGUAGGAUUGACAGAUUAAUAGCUCUUUCUUGAUUUCUUGGAUGGUGAUGCAUGGCCGUUUUUAGUUCGUGAAUAUGAUUUGUCUGGUUAAUUCCGAUAACGAACGAGAUCUUAACCUGCUAAUUAGCGGCGAGUACACUAUAUUCUUAUUUGAAAUUGAACAUAGGUAACUAUACAUUUAUUCAGUAAUCAAAUUAGGAUAUUUAAAAUAAAAUAUCCUUUUCCCUGUUCUAAUAAUAAAUUGUUUUUUACUCUAUUUCUCUCUUCUUUUAAGAA
rnacentral:rRNA from 1 species